rnacentral:rRNA from 1 species
UACGUAGGUGGCAAGCGUUGUUCGGAAUUAUUGGGCGUAAAGGGCGCGUAGGUGGCUUGUUAAGUCGGCUGUGAAAGCCCGGGGCUCAACCCCGGAGGGUCGGCCGAUACUGGCGAGCUAGAGUACGGAAGAGGUAGCUGGAAUUCCCGGUGUAGCGGUGAAAUGCGCAGAUAUCAGGAGGAACACCGGUGGCGAAGGCGGGUCUCUGGGCAACAACUGACGCUGAGGAGCGAAAGCGUGGGGAGCGAACAGG